ACCAAAGCCGGCGGCGGGGGCUAAAAACAAAACGCGGCGGUCCGAAAGGCGACCGGAGGGAGAUGGAGUAAAAGGAGCCGAGGGGAAAGCGAAGAAAAGCGAGGGGGUGGAAAAGCCAAAAAACCGCCCCGGAGCCCAGCGGCCCCCGCCCUCCCUCACGGCCGGGGUCCCCCCGCGCAGCGCCCCGGGGGCUGAGGAGGGAGGAUUUGGGGGGGGGGGGGGGGGGGAGGGAUUUAGGGGGCUCCCCCCGAGCCUGCAUCGCUCCUGGCCCCCCACCCCAAGAGCUGACGGUGGGGAGGCGCGGUCCCACCUGGGUGCGCAGCGCCGAGCACCAGCUGGAGGCCCAGGAGGCAGCCGAGGGAGGCUCGCAGAGGCCGCGGCCUCCGGGGGCGCCCCAUGCCCGGAGCUGCCCCGCCGAGCUCCGCUCCGCGCCGGGGCCUCGCCGCUUCCCUCGGCCGGGGGACGGCGGAGGGGCGGGAGGAAGGAGGAGGAGGAGGAGGAGGAGGAGGGACGCCGAAAAGAGGAGGGAAAAAAAAAAAAAAAAAGUUAAAAAAAUAUAUUAAAAAAAAAGCAAAGUCGGAGGGGGGAGCCAGGGCCGGCCUCAGACACUGCGUCAGCGGGAGCCGCGCUGCCCUCGCCGUGGGUGCUGCACAAGCCCCAGAAGCCAUGCAGAGGGCUGCGAAGGAAGGUGCUGCCCUCGGGAAGCCGAGCGAGGAGGUGGGAAGGGAAGGAGAGACCCGGCUCUGCUGAGGCUCCGUUCCGUUCACACGUGGGUUUAAAACAUCCAGCGACCUCUGUGUGUACCUCCGGGUGCCCCAGGCCCCCUGCGUGGGAUGGCUUUGGGCAGAAAAUGCUGGAAAUUGGCAUUUUCCCCAUGUUGCAGGGUGGGCUGUGCUGCUGUAGGAGGGUUGUUGGAGCUGAGGCUCAGGGGCGCUGAGGUCUGCACGGACCUGGUGAACCAGGGGAGCUGCUUGCCUCCUGCCUGGGAUCUUGCUGGAGCAACAGGUCACCUGCAGCACCCCGAGAAGAUUGAACCUUGCAACGUGAUCAAAGCCAAUAAAAACCCCAAAUCCCAGAACGCCAGGAGGAGAAAGUCCCCGGGAGGUCUGAAGGCAGCAGCUCCCCCAGCCCUGGCUCUCCCCUGUUGCUGGAGCGAUGAAGACCCUGUGCCACCAGAGCCUCACCUCCCCGAGCUCCCCAGGGAUACAGGGGGAGCUCCAUGGGCUGUGCCAUGCACAGUUCAGGGAAGAUGAUGCCUUUAACCAGAAUGGCAUUGCUCCCUUGAGCCAGGCGCAGGAUCUCUCCCAAUGCAGAGGGAUGCUCGCGAGCCAGCGCGUUUGGUUUGGCAAAUCCUGCAAAAAUAAAGGGAUCCGUUGUUUCCCAGCGAGGCAGGAAGGACCUGCAGAGCGGUGCCAGGAGAGGCUUUGGGGAUGUAAACCCUCCUCCAGGAGGGCCCAAUUAAGCAUAUCAGAACCUGGGCUGUUUUUUUUUUUUUUUUUUUUUUUUAAGCCAUGGAUUAUUUUUUAAUUGAGCCAGCACCUGGAAGAGCAGCCUGGGGGUCAGGAGAGCAGCACCUGGGUGCUCGGUCCCAUCCCUAAGCCUUGGAGAUGGGAUGGGGAUGACUCCAGGGGUGUCACCCACCCCAGGUGCCAGCAGCCAGGCAUGAAGGAGCCGCGAAGCCCCACCAAGGGGUCCCCACACCCGCACAAAUCUGCACAAAAUCCCAUCGGCAGGAGGGGACACGGCAGAGCCAAAAGGCCCCGGAUCUCCCAGAGCAUCGUCGCCUCCUGGCCUCGUCCAUCCCAUUCCUCGGAGGCCCCUCCUCUGUGUGCAAUUAGAAGACAAUUAGCACUUCCUAAUAAUUAAUUCCUCCAGCGUGGGCCAGCAGCUCCGCACUUAUGCUCAUCUAAUCCAGUUUAGUACCAGUCGAGUUGCUGCUCAUCGGAGCGGAUCUGGAGGAAAUGCCUUUUUCCCUUCCCCUGGGACGUUUCCAAGCUGUCUGACCUCUCCGGCCCUAACGAGCUGCUGCCAGACGAAGGGACGCAGCCGCAUGCCGGGGACAGCUCCGGGGCUGUCUCUUUGCACCGACCAGGGGCCACGGGCUCGUCCCAGCUUAGUCAGCACCGGGAGAUCCAGGCUGCUGCUGGCUCCCGCAGCCGGAGCAUCUGCAUCUGUCCCCUCUUUGGAAAAACUUAAAUAAAUGCUGGGUUUUGGCAAAAGCA